rnacentral:misc_RNA from 1 species
UUCUGCGAGUUCGCGGGAGAGUAAGUUAUUGCCAGGGUUUUUAUUUUAUACUUUAAACAUUGAUUUUAUUUUUUAUGUUUUUAGAUGUUCAUGUUUUUGAAUGUUUUAUUUAAAUAAUAUAAAAAAUAAAAUAUAUAUUGACAUGGAUUAAACAAAGAUAUAUAUUAUUCUAUGUUGCAUAAACAAAUUGGCAAAAUAGAGAUGGAAGAUAAAAAUAUGGUCAAAGUAAUAAGAGUCUAUGGUGAAUGCCUAGGAAA